GGGUGAUUAGCUCAGCUGGGAGAGCAUCUGCCUUACAAGCAGAGGGCCGGCGGUUCGAUCCCGUCAUCACCCACCA
rnacentral:tRNA from 1 species